rnacentral:rRNA from 1 species
UACGUAGGUGGCAAGCGUUGUCCGGAUUUACUGGGCGUAAAGAGCGCGCAGGCGGUCGUUCAAGUCGCGUGUGAAAGCCCCCGGCUCAACUGGGGAGGGUCACGCGAUACUGAUCGACUCGAAGGCAGGAGAGGGUAGUGGAAUUCCCGGUGUAGUGGUGAAAUGCGUAGAUAUCGGGAGGAACACCUGUGGCGAAGGCGGCCGACUGGGCCGACCCUGGACGCUGAGGCGC